rnacentral:rRNA from 1 species
GACGAACGCUGGCGGCGUGCCUAAUACAUGCAAGUCGAGCGAAUCAAUAGGAGCUUGCUCCUGUUGGUUAGCGGCGGACGGGUGAGUAACACGUGGGCAACCUGCCUGUAAGACUGGGAUAACAUCGGGAGACCGAUGCUAAUACAGGAUAAUCCUUUCUCUCUCAUGCGGGGAAGUUGAAAGUCGGUUUCGGCUGACACUUACAGAUGGGCCCGCGGCGCCUUAGCUAGUUGGUGAGGUAACGGCUCACCAAGGCGAAGAUGCGUAGGCGACCUGAGAGGGUGAUCGGCCACACUGGGACUGAGACCCGGCCCAGACUCCUAAGGGAGGCAGCAGUAGGGAAUCUUCCACAAUGGACGAAAGUCUGAUGGAGCAACGCCGCGUGAGCGAUGAAGGCCUUCGGGUCGUAAAGCUCUGUUGUUAGGGAAGAACAAGUACCGGAGUAACUGCCGGUACCUUGACGGUACCUAACCAGAAAGCCACGGCUAACUACGUGCCAGCCGCCGCGGUAACAC